rnacentral:rRNA from 1 species
CGCACCUGCCGGCGACCGGCGCACGGGUGAGUAACACGUAUGGAACCUGCCGCCACAGGGGGAUAACCCGGGGAAACCCGGCCUAAUACCCCAUGCCGCCCGGACCGGGCAUCCGGACCGGGCGAAAGGAGGAAUCCGGUGGCAGCUGGGCAUGCGGAGCAUUAGCUUGACGGCGGGGUAACGGCCCACCGUGGCGACGAUGCGUAGGGGUUCUGAGAGGAAGGCCCCCCACACUGGAACUGAGACACGGUCCAGACUCCUACGGAAGGCAGCAG